CCAGCAAUAACAUCAUCUCCAGCAGAUGCAUUGGCAGAACCUGGCCCGAGUGGCCUUAAUCAACAAGGAACAGCCUCGAGAGUCACAAGACCUAAUUCAGCACACAGCUGGAAAAUUCACGAAACGACUUCGCAACUCUGGCUGAGACACAAGUUUCAUGCAUGGAGAUGUUUGCAAAAUCGAUGGAGAAGACGGCCGAGAAUGACAGGCAGAGGAACGAAAAUGAAAGAGAAAGGAACGAGAUUCUCCGCACACUCGUCUAAUCUCAAAAAGAGCGGGACCAAGUUAUAAAUAACUUGACAGGAGUGCUGCAGGAAUGUGUGCAACAUUUAAAAAAAUAAAGAAUUAGGCACCGAAGAAUUAAGA